rnacentral:tRNA from 1 species
UCCCUGGUUGUCCAGUGGCUAAGACUCUGUGCUCCCAAUGCAGGGGGCUUAGGUUCGAUCCCUGAUCAGGGAU